rnacentral:rRNA from 1 species
GAUGAACGCUGGCGGCGUGCCUAAUACAUGCAAGUCGAGCGAACAGAUGAGGAGCUUGCUCCUCUGACGUUAGCGGCGGACGGGUGAGUAACACGUGGAUAACCUACCUAUAAGACUGGGAUAACUUCGGGAAACCGGAGCUAAUACCGGAUAAUAUAUUGAACCGCAUGGUUCAAUAGUGAAAGACGGUUUUGCUGUCACUUAUAGAUGGAUCCGCGCCGCAUUAGCUAGUUGGUAAGGUAACGGCUUACCAAGGCAACGAUGCGUAGCCGACCUGAGAGGGUGAUCGGCCACACUGGAACUGAGACACGGUCCAGACUCCUACGGGAGGCAGCAGUAGGGAAUCUUCCGCAAUGGGCGAAGCCUGACGGAGCAACGCCGCGUGAGUGAUGAAGGUCUUCGGAUCGUAAAACUCUGUUAUUGGGGAAGAACAAAUGUGUAAGUAACUAUGCACGUCUUGACGGUACCUAAUCAGAAAGCCACGGCUAACUACGUG